UGCACUUGAAGACCUGCUGGUUACAUCGUCUAGAACAUGGAACCAAACAAUCCCAUGAAGAAAAUAAGACAAAACAUCAUGUAGCAGACAGAGAUUGACAUCUAGACAAUUCAAAUGCCACCAGUAAAUCUGAGGUGGCUACUUCAUCAUGCGCAAUCCUCGACCAGAUUGCCUGGCCACGAAGUGACAAUCAUCCGCACAGAGGGAGCAUCCAGAAUCUUACAACAGGCUUCUUGAGGACAUACACUGA